GAGUAGCUGGGAUUACAGGCAUGCACCACCACACCCAGCUGAUUUUUCUAAUUUUAGUAGAGACAGGAUUUCACUACGUUAGCUAGGCUGGUCUCAAACUCCUGACCUCAGUUGAUCCACCUGCCUUGGCCUCCCAAAGUGCUGGUUCCAAGUGUGAGCCACCGUGCCUAGCUGAGAUCUGAUGGUUUUAUACGUGUUUGACAGUUGCUCCUUCACAUGUUCACACUCUGUGCGGUCACCAUGUAAGUCAGACCUGGUUCCCCUUCUGCCAUGAUUGUAAGUUUCCUGAGGCCUCCCCAGCCAUGUGAAACUGUGAAUCAAUUAAACCUCUUUCCUUUAUAAAUUACCCAACCUUAGAUAUUUCUUUAUAGCAGUGUGAAAACAGACUGAUACACUUUCUGAUAUUCAUGCUUGAGGAAUUGGGGAAUUCAGACUACCUGGGCUCAAAUUGUGCCCCACCCUUAGCAGUCAUGUGACCUUGGGGAGGUUACUUACCUUCUCCAUCUCAACUCCUGUAAAGUCUGUAAAUGAGAUUGUUUCUGAGGAUUAAAUGAGCAUAACACAGUGGGAACACUGUCAGGCACACACUACUUGCCAGAUGUCGAGUAUUCAUCUUUAUUGAAUUAGGACUGUGGUAACCCACUUUAGACUGCAGUAAACCACUUUAUGGCUCUUGAUUUUGUAUGACAAAAUCAUGCAUAGUACUGUUAGUAAAAGAAAGAAAAUCUGAAAGUCCCUGCCAUGGAAGGAAGAAAUAGCGGGGAGAAAAGGGAGUUGGUAAGUUUCAGCAUUUCAGAGCUUGGAGGGACAAGUUAGGUUUCUAUUUUAUGGAGAAGGAGGUGGAGGCAGGAUGGGUCCUAAGGUGUCAUUCAAGACACACAGCCAUAACUCUUUAUUGAGAGUAGAGCUAGGGACCCAAGGAUUGCUGUGGUCAAGUUGCAGACAAAAACAACCACUCAUUGGAAGACAGGAGAGGAGUGUUUAGUUACAAAAGCAGUCAGCCAUUCAGGUGUAUCUACGUUCAGUCAGUAAAUAAAAGUUGUUCAGCUUGGUUGCUAAUGGGACCCACUCUAGUGAGGCUUUGUGCAGAACUCAUAGAGGAAGAUGGCUUCAAGCCACGAACUACCCUGUGCUUUUCUUAGGACUAAAAAUCUCAGGAAGCUGGUGAUAGAUGAAAACCUUAGUCCCACUGGCACUGCACGAAGGGCCAGGAGAGCAGCAGCAUCAUAAGCCACAGGGUGGGGCAGCCCAGGCAGGGGCAUUCUGAGCUGUUGGGGAGGGGUGGCAGCCAGGGUGGGGCACUGUGAGCUGUCGGGGAGGGCACUGUGAAGUGUGAGGUGGGGCAUUGUGUGCCACAUGCCUGGGCUCUCACCUGGGCCAGUGGGCUUCAGUCUGUAGGUGACUAUAGAAGGAGGAGGAGCUCCGUCUGUUCUCUCUUCAGGCAGUUGUUGUGUCUCUCAGUGCUUGUUGGGUUCACAACCUAUUAAAUAAGUCGACUGGUCUCCACCCUCCCAGACAAGUCAACUCAGGGGAGGCGGCAGGGUGCGGGCCUUGGUCCACAGCCCUAGCUGGGGCUGAGGCCCAGGGCCCGGGGCCUGGGGCUGGGCUGUGAGGUAGGCAGGUGAGCAGUGGGCAAGACCAUCUCUGCAAGUGCAGCAUAGCCUUAGCCUAGGGCAGCGGGAGUGCGAGGCCAAAGCUGUGAGCAGAGGCCCAGGUGGUGGCAGACAGUAGAGGUGUCCCAUGGGGAACAUACUGACCUGUUGUGUGCGCCCCAGGGCCAGCCACGAGUUUGACCAGCCGCGGGGGUCAGUAUGUCCCUCUGAGUCCGAGAUCUAUGAGACGGGAGCUGGGGACGGGAUGGCAGGAGCUGGGGAUGGGAUGGCAGGAGCUGGGGACAGGAUGGCAGGAGCACCCAUGGCUGCUGCUGUGCAACCUGCUGCAGUGACUGUUGAAGUUGGUGAGGACCUCCACAUGUACCACAUCCAUGACCGGGAGAUGCCUGAAGCUUUGGAGUUUAACCCUUCUGCCAAUCCAGAGGCAAGCACAAUAUUCCAGAGGGACUGUCAAACAGAUGCUUUGGAGUGUAACCCUUCUGCCAAUCCAGAGGCAAGCACAAUAUUCCAGAGGAACUCUCAGACAGAUGUUGUAGAAAUAAGAAGAAGCAACUGUACAAACCAUGUAUCUACUGUGCGUUUCAGUCAACAAUACAGCUCAUGUUCGACAAUAUUCCUUGAUGACAGCACAGCCAGCCAGCCUUAUCUUACAAAGACAAUAAUAUCAGUGACCUUGGAGAUACAUCAUGAUAUCACGCAAAGACAUGCAGAUGGAUCUUUGAGCAUAUUUGAUGAACAGUUAUACUCAUUUAUGUUAAGUGGCACUUUUAUUGCGGUUUCCACCAUGCACAUUACCCAAACAAGAAGUGGAGGUGGGAGUUUAAGUAACGAUUCCUCCUCCAUUCCAUCGACUCCCAGCACCAGCCAGGAGGACCUUCAGGUCAGUGUUCCUCCCACUGCCAACACACCCACGCCCGUUUGGAAGCAGUCCAAGCGCUGGUCCAAGCUGUUUACAUCUGAGAAAGGGAGUCACCCAGACAAAGAGAAGAAAGCCCCAGAGAGCCAUGCUGACACCAUCGGGAGCAGCAGAGCUAUCCCCAUUAAACAGGGCAUGCUCUUAAAGCUAAGUGGGAAAUGGCUGAAGAAAUGGAAAAAGAAAUAUGUCACCCUCUGUGACAAUGGCAUACUCACCUAUUAUUCAAGCUUAGGUGAUUGUAUGAAGAAUAUUCACAAAACAGAGAUUGACCUUCAGACAUCUACCAUCGAAGUCCCAGGAAAGAGGCCACCCCUAGCCCCAUUGGGCUGUGCGCCCAUUUCCAGCUCUAAAAGCAAUGGCCUAUCCAAAGACAUGAACAGUCUACGUACCUCAGCCAAUUCAGACACCGGGCUGGGUGACUCUGUAUGCUCCGGCCCCAGUAUCUCUAGCACCACCAACCCCAAGCUCAACCCACUCCCCUCUCUUCAUGCCAACAAAAACAAACACCGAAGGAAGAAAAGCACCAACAACUUGAAAGACGAUGGCCUGUCCAGCACUGAAGAACAAGCAGAAAACUUUAUCAUUGUGUCCCUCACUGGCCAAACGUGGCACUUUGAAGCCAUGACGUAUGAGGAGCGGGAUGCCUGGGUCCAAGCCAUCGAGAGCCGGAUCCUGGCCAGCCUGCAGUCAUGCGAGAGCAGCAAAAGCAGGUUCCAGCUGAUGAGCCAGAGCGAGGCCAUGGCCCUGCAGUCCAUCUGAAACAUGUGUGGGAACUCCCACUGUGUGGACUGUGAGACCCAGAAUCCUAACUGGGCCAGUUUGAACUUGGGAGUCCUCAUGUGUAUUGAAUGCUCAGGGAUCCACCGUAAUCUUGGCAUCCGCCUUUCCCGAGUCUGAUCUCUGGACUUGGAUGACUGGCCAGUCGAGCUCAUGCAGGUUUUGUCAUAUAUUGGCAAUGACCUAGCCAACAGCGUCCGGCAAGAGAGCAGCCAGGGGCAGACAAAACCAUCAGUAGACUCCACAAGGGAAAAGAAGGAAUGGUGGAUCCGUGCCAAAUAUGAGCAGAAGCUCUUCCUGGCCCCACUACCCUACACGGAGCUGUCCCUGGGCCAGCACCUGCUGCAGGCCACCCCGAUGAGGACCUGCGGACAGCCAUCCUGCUGCUGGCACAUGGCUCCGGGAGGAAGUGAAUGAGACCUGUGGGGAGGGAGAUAGCUGCACGGCGCUCCAUCUGGCCUGCCGCAAGGGGAAUGUGGUCCUGGCUCAGCUCCUGAUCUGGUACGGGGUGGAUGUCAUGACCUGAGAUUCCCACGGGAACACAGCGCUGGCCUACGCCCAGCAGGCCUCCAGCCAGGAGUGCAUCAAGGUACUGCUGCAGUACGGCUGCCCCGACGAGCGCGUGUAGUAUCUGUUUAAUUUUAUUUGACUGCAGUCUCCUUGGUGCAAAAACAAAAUGGGGAAAAUAAAUAAGAAUAACUCAGAAAUUCAAAAGGAAAUCACAAAUUCAGCUAAUAAUAGCAUUUUCAGUACAUUUUGUAAACUAAGUAAAUACAUAAAAAGUUGAUUUUUCUGACUAUAAGAGAUAUUUUAUGUCCUUUUGCUGAAGUGGAUGUGUUAGUUUCAGGCCCUCCUGGGCCACAUUGCCCGAGUCACACAGGCUUCUGUAUUAUGUAUUUAGAUAAGAUGUGUGAAAAUAUAUUUGAAAAAAGUUCAUAAAUAUGUGUUGAUUUUUGUACA